rnacentral:rRNA from 1 species
GAUGAACGCUGGCGGCGUGCCUAAUACAUGCAAGUCGAACGCGAGCAGCAAUGCUCGAGUGGCGAACGGGUGAGUAAUACAUAAGUAACCUGCCCUAGACAGGGGGAUAACUGCUGGAAACGGCAGCUAAGACCGCAUAGGUAUGGACACUGCAUGGUGACCAUAUUAAAAGUGCCAAGGCACUGGUAGAGGAUGGACUUAUGGCGCAUUAGCUGGUUGGUGAGGUAACGGCUCACCAAGGCGACGAUGCGUAGCCGACCUGAGAGGGUGACCGGCCACACUGGGACUGAGACACGGCCCAGACUCCUACGGGAGGCAGCAGUAGGGAAUUUUCGGCAAUGGGGGGAACCCUGACCGAGCAACGCCGCGUGAAGGAAGAAGGAAUUCGUUCUGUAAACUUCUGUUAUAAAGGAAGAACGGCGGAUAUAGGGAAUGAUAUCCGAGUGA